UUUGACUCCAAAGUUUUAGUGGCAACCCAUUUAAGUAGUUGCCUCUGAAGGGCUUCUAUGGCGCCUAGGCCGCCUCUAAAUCUCGGCUUUGAAAAAAAAAAAAACUAAACAAGCCCUAAUUGAAAAGAAGGAAUCACAUCCAUAUGUUUCUUUGCUCCGUCUCUCUCUCUCGAAAGUUCUCCAUUUUCUCUCAUCUCAAAUUUGUCAAAUUCCGCUCCCAAAAUGUGAAUCAUAUAUUAGACACCAAAAUCCUUAAUCACUAAUUGUGACUCCAUCAGGUAUCUGACAAUAAUACCUUUUGCUUAAUGCUCUUGGCUCCAGUUAAACAAAAUAAGGUUAUGUAAGACAAAAAAGGUCGCAACAGAGGUUAGCAUACUUAAUACUUCUUAAAGUUGAAGUUCCACAUAUAUGGAUCAUCAUGGUUUUAUUCUUGGUUACUUGUGAAAAAAAAAAUUAUGUGCUACUUUUAAAUUUCUUAGCUUAAUAAUAAGCUUAUUUUAUUGGCAUUUAAUUAUUUUUUUAACCUUAUUGUUGACAACUUGUUCAUGAAGGAGCUUUACUGUGGUCAUUAUGAGAGGAAAUUGACAGAAAGGGCAUUUAGUUUUCAGUGAUAGAUAUAUGUGGUGAUAGCUAUUCAAUUUGGUAUCUAUUAGAUAUGUGGAUUUUAGAUGGGCAUAUACAUGACUUUAACGACCCUUAGAUUUUCAAUGGGCAUAUAUCAGACUAGAAUGGAGCAUUUUUUUUUCCCUUAGCUGAAAUUUUUGGUAAAGUAAUUAUGCAUUGUGGCACCCAAGGGUGUGACCUAGUGGUCAAUAAAGUGGGUGAGAAUCAUGAGGUCUCAGGUUCAAAUCCCAGCGGAGGCAAAUAUUAGGUGAUUUUUUCCCAUUUAUUCAAGCCUUGGUGGAUAGAGUUACCUGGUAGUUGUUGCUGGUGGGAGGUGGCAGGUAUCCCGUGGAAUUAGUCGAGGUGCGCGCAAGCUGGCCCGGACACCACGAUUAUCAAAAAAUAAAAAUAAAAAAAAAUUAUACAUUGUGCUUGCAAAAAUUAAGUGAUUGCAGAGAUAUUUUCGAGGCACGGGAUUCUGAGUUCACGGCUUGAGCUUGUGCAGAGUCUCAAGACUUCAAGGGAAAAUGAUACUAGCCAAGGCGAAGGCGGAACUUGAAGAAAUCUUAUUUUGCUUUUAUUUUUUUGUUUCAUGAGUACAAUUAGUUAUGUUAUGAAUUAUUAAUAGAAUUUUUCUA